rnacentral:rRNA from 1 species
AUUGAACGCUGGCGGCGUGCCUAACACAUGCAAGUCGAGCGGUAACAGGUGUAGCAAUACAUGCUGACGAGCGGCGAACGGGUGAGUAAUGCUUCGGAAUCUACCCAAUGGUGGGAAUAACCAGCCGAAAGGUUGGCUAAUACCGCAUACGUCCCACGGGAGAAAGCAGGGGAUCGCAAGACCUUGCGCCAAUGGAUGAGCCGAAGUCGGAUUAGCUAGUUGGAGGGUAACGGCCUACCAAGGCGACGAUCCGUAGCUGGUCUGAGAGGAC